rnacentral:misc_RNA from 1 species
AAUGAACUCAAGACAUGAAAUUCCACUUCUGCAAUCUUGGUAUCGUAAUUUGAAUUCCAAUCUCAAGUAGACAUUUAAUCCUUCAAGACUGUGCAUGCAUUAAAGAAUAAGUCAAUUAUUUCAAUGUUUUCUCUUAACAUAAAAGUAAUAUGUCAAAUGUGAAUUCAUCUCUGGAGAAAAGUCUAAUAUAUCUAGAAUUUUUGUCAAUAUAGCAUCAAAAUAAUUUCUAGUAUGCAUGAUGGGCAAUACUAUGUAAGUUCAUUGUACAGCUAAGCUAACUCAAUAGAUUUAAACAUAUUCUAAUGUCUGGAAUCAUAACUAAAUGCUAAAACUGCAUUUUAGCUAAAACAUACCAAAGAAACCCAUGAAGACUGUGAUUGACAAUUUUCCCAAAUUUUCCAAACAGUAUAGUUCGCAAGAAUCAUACAGUGAAAAACAUGAUAAUUCACAUUUAAAGCAGAGCAUGGUACAACUCAAUUUAGUUGGCACUAAGAAAUAUACAACAAGAAGCAAGAUAACCACACCUCUCUUUCUCUCAAGCUCUUGGU